rnacentral:rRNA from 1 species
AUUGAACGCUGGCGGCAUGCCUUACACAUGCAAGUCGAACGGCAGCACGGAGCUUGCUCUGGUGGCGAGUGGCGAACGGGUGAGUAAUAUAUCGGAACGUACCCUAGAGUGGGGGAUAACGUAGCGAAAGUUACGCUAAUACCGCAUACGAUCUAAGGAUGAAAGUGGGGGAUCGCAAGACCUCAUGCUCGUGGAGCGGCCGAUAUCUGAUUAGCUAGUUGGUAGGGUAAAAGCCUACCAAGGCAUCGAUCAGUAGCUGGUCUGAGAGGACGACCAGCCACACUGGAACUGAGACACGGUCCAGACUCCUACGGGAGGCAGCAGUGGGGAAUUUUGGACAAUGGGCGAAAGCCUGAUCCAGCAAUGCCGCGUGAGUGAAGAAGGCCUUCGGGUUGUAAAGCUCUUUUGUCAGGGAAGAAACGGUGAGAGCUAAUAUCCCUUGCUAAUGACGGUACCUGAAGAAUAAGCACCGGCUAACUACGUGCCAGCAGCCGCGGUAAUACGUAGGGUGCAAGCGUUAAUCGGAAUUACUGGGCGUAAAGCGUGCGCAGGCGGUUUUGUAAGUCUGAUGUGAAAUCCCCGGGCUCAACCUGGGAAUUGCAUUGGAGACUGCAAGGCUAGAAUCUGGCAGAGGGGGGUAGAAUUCCACGUGUAGCAGUGAAAUGCGUAGAUAUGUGGAGGAACACCGAUGGCGAAGGCAGCCCCCUGGGUCAAGAUUGACGCUCAUGCACGAAAGCGUGGGGAGCAAACAGGAUUAGAUACCCUGGUAGUCCACGCCCUAAACGAUGUCUACUAGUUGUCGGGUCUUAAUUGACUUGGUAACGCAGCUAACGCGUGAAGUAGACCGCCUGGGGAGUACGGUCGCAAGAUUAAAACUCAAAGGAAUUGACGGGGACCCGCACAAGCGGUGGAUGAUGUGGAUUAAUUCGAUGCAACGCGAAAAACCUUACCUACCCUUGACAUGGCUGGAAUCCCCGAGAGAUUGGGGAGUGCUCGAAAGAGAACCAGUACACAGGUGCUGCAUGGCUGUCGUCAGCUCGUGUCGUGAGAUGUUGGGUUAAGUCCCGCAACGAGCGCAACCCUUGUCAUUAGUUGCUACGAAAGGGCACUCUAAUGAGACUGCCGGUGACAAACCGGAGGAAGGUGGGGAUGACGUCAAGUCCUCAUGGCCCUUAUGGGUAGGGCGUCACACGUCAUACAAUGGUACAUACAGAGCGCCGCCAACCCGCGAGGGGGAGCUAAUCGCAGAAAGUGUAUCGUAGUCCGGAUUGUAGUCUGCAACUCGACUGCAUGAAGUUGGAAUCGCUAGUAAUCGCGGAUCAGCAUGUCGCGGUGAAUACGUUCCAGGGUCU